CCUGGCUCAGGACGAACGCUGGCGGCGUGCCUAAUACAUGCAAGUCGAGCGAAUCAUAAGGUGCUUGCACCUUAUGGUUAGCGGCGGACGGGUGAGUAACACGUGGGCAACCUGCCUGUAAGACUGGGAUAACUUCGGGAAACCGGAGCUAAUACCGGAUAAUCCUUUUCCUCUCAUGAGGAAAAGCUGAAAGUCGGUUUAGGCUGACACUUACAGAUGGGCCCGCGGCGCAUUAGCUAGUUGGUGAGGUAACGGCUCACCAAGGCGACGAUGCGUAGCCGACCUGAGAGGGUGAUCGGCCACACUGGGACUGAGACACGGCCCAGACUCCUACGGGAGGCAGCAGUAGGGAAUCUUCCGCAAUGGACGAAAGUCUGACGGAGCAACGCCGCGUGAGCGAUGAAGGCCUUCGGGUCGUAAAGCUCUGUUGUUAGGGAAGAACAAGUACCGGAGUAACUGCCGGUACCUUGACGGUACCUAACCAGAAAGCCACGGCUAACUACGUGCCAGCAGCCGCGGUAAUACGUAGGUGGCAAGCGUUGUCCGGAAUUAUUGGGCGUAAAGCGCGCGCAGGCGGUCCUUUAAGUCUGAUGUGAAAGCCCACGGCUCAACCGUGGAGGGUCAUUGGAAACUGGGGGACUUGAGUACAGAAGAGGAAAGCGGAAUUCCACGUGUAGCGGUGAAAUGCGUAGAGAUGUGGAGGAACACCAGUGGCGAAGGCGGCUUUCGGUC
rnacentral:rRNA from 2 species